CAUAGGACGACUUAAAGACAUCAAGAAACAAUUGUCAAACACGGAAUCUAAAAAAGCUAAAAUGUCACAUCAUUCGUCUCAUAACAAAGGAGGUAUUAAAAAGGACUUAAGAGCUUAAUUUCAAAAGUCAAUGAAUUACUAUUUAAGUCUUCUUCUUGUUUCUAUUGGGUGGCCUUUGAAGUUUGUCAUUAGCAAAUUAAUUACUUCAACUUCUUUCUUUAAACAGCUUUUCUUUCUGUCACACAACUAUUUUUCUGAUUCCCUGAGUUUACUUUCUUCAGACAAGCUUAAUCCUAAACUUCAAGAUCUUGAGAAUUGCGUACAUGGAAAGAGAAAAAGAAAAAUGAAGGAGAAAUAGAGAAAUUAGCAAGCAACUCAUUGGGAUGUCAUUCAAUAUUUGUAUUUAUACUUAUAUUGACCAGGAUGAAUAUUUGCUUUAUUUAUCUUGCUACUCUUUUGUCGUUAUUUUUCUUUAUACAUCCCAGAUCGCCCAGUGUAAUCACACUGGGUAUGUUGUUCGUACUAAAGUGAAUGAUUUUUCAUUAAA